rnacentral:rRNA from 1 species
CCAAUAGCGUAUAUUAAAGUUGUUGCAGUUAAAAAGCUCGUAGUUGAAUUUUAGGCCUGGCCGGGCGGUCCGUCUUUGGCGAGUACUGUCUUGUUGUCGGGUCUUCCUUCUGGUGAACCAGUAUGCCCUUUAUUGGGUGUGUUGGGGAGCCAGGACCAUUACCUUGAAAAAAUUAGAGUGUUUAAAGCGGGCUAUUGCUUGAAUAGAUUAGCAUGGAAUAAUAGAAUAGGACGUUGUGGUUCUAUUUUGUUGGUUUCUAGGACCACCGUAAUGAUUAAUAGGGAUAGUUGGGGGCAUUAGUAUUCAAUUGUCAGAGGUGAAAUUCUUGGAUUUAUUGAAGACUAACUACUGCGAAAGCAUUUGCCAAGGAUGUUUUCAUUAAUCAAGAACGAAAGUUAGGGGAUCGAAGACGAUCAGAUACCGUCGUAGUCUUAACCAUAAACUAUGCCGACUAGGAAUCUGGCGACGUUAUUUUCAUGACUCGCUCGGCGCCUUAUGG